rnacentral:rRNA from 1 species
GACGAACGCUGGCGGCGUACUUAACACAUGCAAGCCGUACGGUAAGGCCCUUUCGGGGGUACACGAGUGGCGAACGGGUGAGUAACACGUGAGUAACCUGCCCACAACUUUGGGAUAACGCUAGGAAACUGGUGCUAAUACUGGAUAUGUGCUCCUGCUGCAUGGUGGGGGUUGGAAAGCUCCGGCGGUUGUGGAUGGACUCGCGGCCUAUCAGCUUGUUGGUGGGGUAGUGGCCUACCAAGGCGGCGACGGGUAGCCGGCCUGAGAGGGUGACCGGCCACAUUGGGACUGAGAUACGGCCCAGACUCCUACGGGAGGCAGCAGUGGGGAAUAUUGCACAAUGGGCGCAAGCCUGAUGCAGCAACGCCGCGUGCGGGAUGACGGCCUUCGGGUUGUAAACCGCUUUCAGCAGGGACGAAGCUUUUUGUGACGGUACCUGCAGAAGAAGCACCGGCUAACUACGUG